rnacentral:rRNA from 1 species
UACGAAGGGGGCUAGCGUUGUUCGGAUUUACUGGGCGUAAAGGGCACGCAGGCGGCCUGACAAGUCAGGGGUGAAAUCCCGGGGCUCAACCCCGGAACUGCCUUUGAAACUGUCAGGCUAGAGACCGAGAGAGGUGAGUGGAAUUCCUAGUGUAGAGGUGAAAUUCGUAGAUAUUAGGAGGAACACCAGUGGCGAAGGCGGCUCACUGGCUCGGUACUGACGCUCAUGUGCGAAAGCGUGGGGAGCAAACAGG